ACAAAGGGUUUCUGCUGUGAACAGCACAUGGACAAGGCGCUUGCGCUUUAUCCAUGUGGAAUCGAUAUCAAGAGAUUUCAGAAGCACAAUUUUUGUUUCUUGGAGCUUGGAGCUGGUGAUCGCUUGUCUCGGCGCUCCG